rnacentral:rRNA from 1 species
UGGGGAAUAUUGCACAAUGGGCGCAAGCCUGAUGCAGCCAUGCCGCGUGUAUGAAGAAGGCCUUCGGGUUGUAAAGCACUUUCAGCGGGGAGGAAGGCGGUGAGGUUAAUAACCUCACCGAUUGACGUUACCCGCAGAAGAAGCACCGGCUAACUCCGUGCCAGCAGCCGCGGUAAUACGGAGGGUGCAAGCGUUAAUCGGAAUUACUGGGCGUAAAGCGCACGCAGGCGGUCUGUCAAGUCGGAUGUGAAAUCCCCGGGCUCAACCUGGGAACUGCAUUCGAAACUGGCAGGCUAGAGUCUUGUAGAGGGGGGUAGAAUUCCAGGUGUAGCGGUGAAAUGCGUAGAGAUCUGGAGGAAUACCGGUGGCGAAGGCGGCCCCCUGGACAAAGACUGACGCUCAGGUGCGAAAGCGUGGGGAGCAAACAGG